CGCUCCUUGAUUUUAAUUAAUAAGGAGUCGGACCUGCCCAGUGAUAAGUAUUUAACGGCCGCGGUACUCUGACCGUGCAAAGGUAGCAUAAUCAUUUGCCCUAUAAUUGAGGGCUAGUAUGAAUGGUUUGACAAGAACAAUACUGUCUCUUUCAAAAUUUCUAGAAUUUAUUCUUUAGGUGAAGAAACCUAAAUAAAAUUAAAAGACAAGAAGACCCUAUCGAGCUUAAACUCUUUUUAUAAAAUAAAAAAAAUUAAUAAUAUUUUUUGUUAUAAAAAAUUUUGGUUGGGGCGACUAAGGAACAAAAAAAGCUUCUUUAUUUAAUAAAGACAAAUGUGUGUUGAUCCAUAAAAUCUUGAUUAAAAGAAUUAGUUACCGUAGGGAUAACAGCAUAAUCUUUUUUAAGAGUUCUUAUCGAAAAAAAGGUUUGUGACCUCGAUGUUGGACUAAAAUUUCCUAAUAGAUGCAGACGUCUUUAAGGG
rnacentral:rRNA from 1 species